rnacentral:rRNA from 1 species
UGGGGAAUAUUGCACAAUGGGCGCAAGCCUGAUGCAGCCAUGCCGCGUGUAUGAAGAAGGCCUUCGGGUUGUAAAGUACUUUCAGCGGGGAGGAAGGCGAUAAGGUUAAUAACCUCAUCGAUUGACGUUACCCGCAGAAGAAGCACCGGCUAACUCCGUGCCAGCAGCCGCGGUAAUACGGAGGGUGCAAGCGUUAAUCGGAAUUACUGGGCGUAAAGCGGACGCAGGCGGUCUGUCAAGUCGGAUGUGAAAUCCCCGGGCUCAACCUGGGAACUGCAUUCGAAACUGGCAGGCUAGAGUCUUGUAGAGGGGGGUAGAAUUACAGGUGUAGCGGUGAAAUGCGUAGAGAUCUGGAGGAAUACCGGUGGCGAAGGCGGCCCCCUGGACAAAGACUGACGCUCAGGUGCGAAAGCGUGGGGAGCAAACAGG